CACGUAGGAGACAAGCGUUAUCCGGAUUUACUGGGUGUAAAGCGCGUGCAGGCGGUCUGGUAAGUUGGAUGUGAAAGCUCCUGGCUUAACUGGGAGAGGUCGUUCAAUACUGCUGGACUAGAGGAUGGCAGAGGGGAGUGGAAUUCCGAGUGUAGCGGUAAAAUGCAUAGAUAUUCGGAAGAACACCAGUGGCGAAGGCGGCUCUCUGGGCCAUUUCUGACGCUCAGACGCGAAAGCUAGGGUAGCAAACGGG
rnacentral:rRNA from 2 species